rnacentral:lncRNA from 1 species
GGAAGUCCCGAAAAUCACACCGGGACGCCGUCGGGACCCACUAAGUGUCCCGAAACUCACCGACUCGUACCACGAGUCAUCCGCUGCCACAAAACACACCAAUUUGGAUGUCUUGGCAGCAAACACAAGAUAACACCACUACACAAUUAUCGUCGAAUAAUUGUACGAAUACGGGUUCCCGGAAGCGUCUAUUUCGACACCGGAACCCACCAUCGCUCACCCAUCAUCACGAACCCACAAAAUGAUGAUGGUGACCAGCCAACAAGGCUCAGCGACAAUUCACAGGAUAAACAAACCACGUCGGAAGAAAUCCGAACUGAAACCGCGUUCUUUCAGCGAAUUUCGCCGAAAAACGCACCGAAAUCGACUUUUCGAUUUCCGCGAAAGCUACAGGAUCAUGGACAAUCAGUCCAAAGGUCAAACACACUCAUACACACUGCCCACAGUAGCCACAAGGUGUACAAUUGCACAAAAGCCCCUAUAUUUACAUAAAAUCCAAACAUUUUAUGUAAAUCGGGCGAUAAAAUAGCUC